UACACGCUGUGACUAGCAUAUCAAUAAGCGGAGGAAAAGAAACUAACAAGGAUUCCCCUAGUAACGGCGAGUGAAGCGGGAAGAGCUCAAAUUUGAAAUCUGAAAGGGUUUCCCUUUACGAAUUGUAGUUUAAAGAAGUGUUUUCUGUUGAGGUUUUGGUAAAAGUUCUUUGGAAUAGGACAUCAUAGAGGGUGAGAAUCCCGUAUUUGACCUUUACUUUCAACUUUGUGAUACACUUUCAAAGAGUCGGAUUGUUUGGGAAUGCAGUCCAAAAUGGGUGGUAAAUUUCAUCUAAAGCUAAAUAUUGGCGAGAGACCGAUAGCUGAACAAGUACCGUGAGGGAAAGAUGGAAAAGAACUUUGAAAAGAGAGUUAAACAGUACGUGAAAUUGUCAAAAGGGAAGCGUUUGACACCAGUGUUGUUUUUCUGAAAAUCAAUUAAAGAACUGUUUAUGCUAAGUUGUUUAGACUUUAUCAGCUAUCUGUUUAGUUUUGAGCUUUUCUUUAAUGCACCUUUCAGUUAACAAGUCAACAUCAAUUUCUUUUGCUGUAAAAAAGCUUGAGGAAGGUGGCUUGAGAUUCGUCUUAAGUGUUUAUAGCCUCUUGCCUAUGCAGUCGGAGAGAUUGAGGUCUGCAGCGUAGAUCCUUCGGGGCUAAAUGCAUUUGUGCUAAGUUAUAGCAUUUUAUAGACAACUUGUUGACUAUGAUUUGUCUUGUAGCUUACUCGCUUAUGUUAUUUUACCUACGCUUAGGAUGUUGAAGAUGUAGCACAUCAU
rnacentral:rRNA from 1 species